rnacentral:tRNA from 1 species
UUGUAGCUCAAUGGUUGAGCAUCGGAAUUAUAUGCUGAAAGUACAGGGUUCGAUUCCUGUCGA